rnacentral:rRNA from 1 species
UACGUAGGGCGCAAGCGUUGUCCGGAAUUAUUGGGCGUAAAGGGCUCGUAGGCGGUUUGUCGCGUCGGGAGUGAAAUCCACUGGCUUAACUGGUGGCUUGCUUUCGAUACGGGCAGACUGGAGGUAUGCAGGGGAGAACGGAAUUCCUGGUGUAGCGGUGAAAUGCGCAGAUAUCAGGAGGAACACCGGUGGCGAAGGCGGUUCUCUGGGCAUGUCCUGACGCUGAGGAGCAAAAGUGUGGGGAGCGAACAGG